GACGAACGCUGGCGGCGUGCCUAAUACAUGCAAGUAGAACGCUGAAGAGAGGAGCUUACUCUUCUUGGAUGAGUUGCGAACGGGUGAGUAACGCGUAGGUAACCUGCCUUGUAGCGGGGGAUAACUAUUGGAAACGAUAGCUAAUACCGCAUAACAAUGGAUGACACAUGUCAUUUAUUUGAAAGGGGCAAUUGCUCCACUACAAGAUGGACCUGCGUUGUAUUAGCUAGCAGGUGAGGUAAUGGCUCACCUAGGCGACGAUACAUAGCCGACCUGAGAGGGUGAUCGGCCACACUGGGACUGAGACACGGCCCAGACUCCUACGGGAGGCAGCAGUAGGGAAUCUUCGGCAAUGGGGGCAACCCUGACCGAGCAACGCCGCGUGAGUGAAGAAGGUUUUCGGAUCGUAAAGCUCUGUUGUAAGUCAAGAACGGGUGUGAGAGUGGAAAGUUCACACUGUGACGGUAGCUUACCAGAAAGGGACGGCUAACUAUGUG
rnacentral:rRNA from 1 species